UUAAUAUUAAUAUAUAUAUAUAUAUAUACUAUAUAUAUCACUAAAGAGCUUUUUUGUUCAGCCGUCACUGGCAGCAGCUGACCAGUUACAGGUAGGUUGACCUUUGACCCCACAUACACUUCACAGGAAAUCUGAACUAGGUUUACACAUGAUCCUGGUAUUCGUCUCUGUACUGUUGUCUCUGUUUGACCUUACAGGAUUAAGUUGACCUUUGCCCAAAAUGAGUGACUUCAUUGCUUUCGUCAAUGCCUUCAAGGCCUGAUACACAUCUAGAGCUAAAGGAGAACUCAGACACCCAAAGGUACAAACAUUUAUUGAUCAUAUAUUUGAAAACGAGAAUAUUCUUCUUUUUAGGGGUUUUGCCCUUAAAAACCGCUAGAUGGAGCCUUUCUCAAGAUAUGGUUUUAUGUUUACCUUGACACACUGUCACUCAUGCUGCAGUAUGCUUAAAAAUAAUGCCACAGUGCAGUGUGUACAUAGAUCAACAUCUUAAAUAUGAGACCAGAAUGUGUCCUGUGCACACUCCAACACUCAAAAAUACCAGGAUGAACUGGAAUGGGGCAAAGAGAACUGCAUUCAAAUCAAACUAAUCAGAUAGGUAAAUACACUGUGCACACACAUAAAAAAAUAUGCUCAUUUUAUACAGAAUUUACCUUUUAUACCCGUGUGUUUUACAGGUGGCAGAGCUCUUUGAGGAUCUGAAGAAGAGAGUGUCAAAAUGUAACUAAAUUUAGCUCCUCGAACCCCACAGACUACACCAGCCUGCACAAACAGAUAAUCAUCCUGCAAGUAUAAACAAACACACACCACAUUACACUGUUGUUUAAAAGUUUGAGUCAGCAAGAUAUUAUUAUUAUUAUUAUUAAAGAAUUUUUUUUUUUUGCAGUAUCAUGUGACACUGAAGACUAAUAAAAUGAUUACUGAAAAUUCAGAUUUGUGGUCACUGGAAUAAAUACAUUUUUUACAUAUAUUAAAAUAGAGUUGUUGUUUUUUGUAAUUGUAGCAAUAAAGCAUGAAUAUAACACUUUUUACUGUACUUUUGAUAAAAUAAGCAUAGCCUUGGUGUGAAAAAGAGACUUAGCAUCAAAACAGUCUUAGCCAUCCAUCGCUCCACAAUCAUUGUAACAAUUGUGUUGUGGACAUCACUAGAAUUCCUAUAGAAUUUAAAAAAAAUAUUAACUUUAAUUAUGGUUAUCGAGCUUUGUGAAGCUUUUUAAAUGUGUUAGCAUAAUUGUCAUUUAUCUUCCAGCUCUCUAUUACACCUGGAUUAUUUUUUUAGGAAUUUCAGUGAGCCAUAAGCUGUAUCUGCAUGUUUCAGUCGGGCAUGUAACCGGUUGAUUUAAGACUCUUAUAAGCGGGCACUCUUCUAACCUUGGAAACACCAUGGAAACACCAAGUUUUCUUUGGCAUUAUUUUUAAGUUUUUAACAUUUCAUAGUCCUCUGUUGCUUAGUAACAAUGAAUACUUCCUGAAAUAUGUAAUAUGACACAGAGUAAAACAAAGAUAAUUACAACUUUCCUACUUUUCUCCCAGCUGAGUUUGAAUCUCACAAUUCUGACUUUUUUUCUCUCUUUUUUUUUUUUGGUUAGAAUUGUGAGUUUAUAUCUCCCUUGUUUUCAUAGAUGUGAAAACAUAUUUUAGGGGGCAUAAUUUUCACCAAUCUCAUGUUAAUUUUGGGUACCUAUAUAGUAGUAUUGCACCCUUCAUAUCUCUGUAGAGUCUUUAGUUUUAUCAGAUUUAUAAAAGAAGGAUACAACCUUACGAUUCAUUCCGAAAACAGCUGAUCUCCUGGAGGAGUGCCAUGGGUGAAGCUAAAGAGUCCUGAGCACUUGCCCACCGAUUGGCAACAAAACACAGAAAUUUGGUGCAGUUUUACUC
ensembl:lncRNA